ACGAUUUCUGAUGUUGUCUAGGCAACCUCGGGGAGGGGGACCUCCAUCCCCGCCUCUUAUCCCUUCCCUUCCCUCCUCAGACCCCGGAGUGACGCGACUGAUGGGUGCUGGGCCUGCGGGGAUGGAGGUUCUGCUUUCCCAGGCCCGCCCCAGGAGGAGAUGGCCACCUUCUCUAGGUCUGCAGACUGUGCUGAGACCCCCACCCUCUUGUCUCCCUGGCCAUGUACUUCUCUGUCCCAGAGACCCUCCCCCCGACACAGGCACAGACACUCACCUGAGGCCAUACUGCCGGAACCCGGAGGGGUAUGUGGGAGACUGCCCGCCAGGGUCCGCACAACCGGGAAGCUGGGGUCGCAAGGGAGGGGAGGAGGGCUGAACCCAGACCCCGGCCAAGUCGCUCCAAGGAUCCCUGGCUCUGGCACCGAGAUGGAAGAAGUAAGGCAGUCUUUCAAAAUUGCCCGCAGGCGGGAGACGGACCUCGGCGGACCUCGGCCGCUGAACUAGCCUCGGAGACCCCGGGGAGUCCCGACUUCCAGCUGUCUGCUCAGGAGGCGAGCAGGCCACGUGCUCCCCAGAGAGCAGGACCCGGAACUCGUCUGUGCUUCUCUCAACACUCUCUGGGUGUUCAGGUUCGGACUAUCGUAGCUGGACUGUGGUGGAGUCACGCAACAGGUGCGACCCCACCGAAGCCUAGCCUGCGCCUCAGGGCGUCUCAGCCGCCCCGGGCCCCCGCUGUGUCCGAGGCCCCGCCCACUCCGAGCAGGCCCCGCCCCCGCCAUGUUCCUCUUUCCUUCGCCACGUGGGCAGCCGCCACUCCGCAGUUAGCCAGGCGGGUCUUGGGCAAGAGUUGUGCGUCAGCUUCCUCAUCAGUGAAAUGGGGCGGUGUAAUUGCACUCAAGGGAGUUGUUCUGAGCAUGAAACGUUAAGCACCUUUGCACGAUGCCUGGCACAAAGUCGAUGGCCCAUAAAAGAUAGCUAGUAUUG